rnacentral:rRNA from 1 species
GACGAACGCUGGCGGCGUGCUUAACACAUGCAAGUCGAGCGGUAAGGCCCUUUCGGGGGUACACGAGCGGCGAACGGGUGAGUAACACGUGGGUGACCUGCCCUCAGCUCUGGGAUAAGCCUGGGAAACCGGGUCUAAUACUGGAUAUGACUCCAUGACGCAUGUUGUGGGGUGGAAAGCCUUGUGCGGCUGAGGAUGGGCCCGCGGCCUAUCAGCUUGUUGGGUGGGGUGAUGGCCUACCAAGGCGACGACGGGUAGCCGGCCUGAGAGGGCGACCGGCCACACUGGGACUGAGACACGGCCCAGACUCCUACGGGAGGCAGCAGUGGGGAAUCUUGCGCAAUGGGCGAAAGCCUGACGCAGCGACGCCGCGUGAGGGAUGACGGCCUCGGUGUAAC